rnacentral:tRNA from 1 species
GGGCGAUUGGCUCAGUUGGCUAGAGCGCCUGGAUCACACCCAGGAGGUCGCAGGUUCGACUCCUGCAUCGCCCACCA